GAUGAAGAACGCAGCGAAAUGCGAUAAGUAAUGUGAAUUGCAGAAUUCAGUGAAUCAUCGAAUCUUUGAACGCACAUUGCGCCCUCUGGUAUUCCGGGGGACAUGCCUGUUCGAGCGUCAUUAUAACCACUCAAGCUCUCGCUUGGUAUUGGGGUUCGCGGUUCCGCGGCCCCUAAAAUCAGUGGCGGUGCCUGUCGGCUCUACGCGUAGUAAUACUCCUCGCGAUUGAGUCCGGUAGGUCUACUUGCCAGCAACCCCCAAUUUUUACAGGUUGACCUCGGAUCAGGUAGGGAUACCCGCUGAACUUAAGCAUAUCAAUAAGCGGAGGA
rnacentral:misc_RNA from 1 species